CCUACGGGAGGCAGCAGUAGGGAAUGUUCGUCAAUGGGCGCAAGCCUGAACGAGCAAUGCCGCGUGAAGGAGGAAGGUCUUCGGAGCGGAAAGUUCUGUUGAAGGGGAAAAAGAGCGGAGAGAGGAAAUGCUUUCGGAUUGAUAUUACCGUUAGAGGAAGGCACGGCUAACGACGUGCCAGCAGCCGCGGUAAUACGUAGGUGGCGAGCGUUAUCCGGAAUGAUUGGGCGUCAAGGGUGCGUAGGCGGCCUGCUAAGUCUGGAGUGAAAGGUACCGGCUCAACCGGUACAGGCUCUGGAAACUGGCGGGCUAGAGCGCAGGCGAGGGCGGUGGCACUCCAUGUGUAGCGGU
rnacentral:rRNA from 1 species